CACGAAGGUUGGCUAAUCCUGGUCGGACAUCAGGAGGUUAGUGCAAUGGCAUAAGCCAGCUUGACUGCGAGCGUGACGGCGCGAGCAGGUGCGAAAGCAGGUCAUAGUGAUCCGGUGGUUCUGAAUGGAAGGGCCAUCGCUCAACGGAUAAAAGGUACUCCGGGGAUAACAGGCUGAUACCGCCCAAGAGUUCAUAUCGACGGCGGUGUUUGGCACCUCGAUGUCGGCUCAUCACAUCCUGGGGCUGAAGUAGGUCCCAAGGGUAUGGCUGUUCGCCAUUUAAAGUGGUACGCGAGCUGGGUUUAGAACGUCGUGAGACAGUUCGGUCCCUAUCUGCCGUGGGCGCUGGAGAACUGAGGGGGGCUGCUCCUAGUACGAGAGGACCGGAGUGGACGCAUCACUGGUGUUCGGGUUGUCAUGCCAAUGGCACUGCCCGGUAGCUAAAUGCGGAAGAGAUAAGUGCUGAAAGCAUCUAAGCACGAAACUUGCC
rnacentral:rRNA from 1 species